CAGUCGCCACGGGAAUACGUAGGGCGCAAGCGUUGUCCGGAAUUAUUGGGCGUAAAGCGCACGCAGGCGGUCUGUCAAGUCAGAUGUGAAAUCCCCGGGCUUAACCUGGGAACUGCAUUUGAAACUGGCAGGCUAGAGUCUUGUAGAGGGGGGUAGAAUUCCAGGUGUAGCGGUGAAAUGCGUAGAGAUCUGGAGGAAUACCGGUGGCGAAGGCGGCCCCCUGGACAAAGACUGACGCUCAGGUGCGAAAGCGUGGGGAGCAAACAGGAUUAGAGACCCGUGUAGUCCCUGUCUCUUAUAC
rnacentral:rRNA from 1 species